UACGUAGGCAGCAAGCGUUGUUCGGAAUUACUGGGCGUAAAGAGUGUGUAGGCGGUGUUCUAAGUCUGUUGUGAAAAUCUCCCGGCUUAACUGGGAGGGUGCGGCGGAAACUGGAAUGCUAGAGGAUGGGAGAGGUAAGCGGAAUUCCUGGUGUAGCGGUGAAAUGCGUAGAUAUCAGGAGGAACACCUGUGGUGUAGACAGCUUACUGGACCAUUUUCUGACGCUGAGACACGAAAGCGUGGGUAGCAAACAGG
rnacentral:rRNA from 1 species